UACUCCAUAAAGUCAAAUUAAGGCAUCUUUUAUUGAUUAAAGCUCCGGCGGUUAGAGAUGGGCAUGCGUGUCAUUAGCUAGUUGGUGAGGUAACGGCUCACCAAGGCCACGAUGACUAGGGGGUCUGAGAGGAUGAUCCCCCACACUGGUACUGAGACACGGACCAGACUCCUACGGGAGGCAGCAGUGAGGAAUAUUGGGCAAUGGACGCAAGUCUGACCCAGCCAUGCCGCGUGCAGGAUGACUGCCCUAUGGGUUGUAAACUGCUUUUGUUUGGGAAGAAACCCCCGAUCGUGAUCGGGGCUGACGGUACCAUACGAAUAAGCAUCGGCUAACUCCGUGCCAGCAGCCGCGGUAAUACGGAGGAUGCAAGCGUUAUCCGGAUUCAUUGGGUUUAAAGGGUGCGCAGGCGGAAUAUUAAGUCAGUGGUGAAAUCCUGCAGCUUAACUGUAGAACUGCCAUUGAUACUGAUAUUCUUGAAUAUAGUUGAGGUGGGCGGAAUGUGUAAUGUAGCGGUGAAAUGCUUAGAUAUUACACAGAACACCAAUUGCGAAGGCAGCUCACUAAACUAAUAUUGACGCUGAGGCACGAAAGCGUGGGUAGCAAACAGGAUUAGAUACCCUGGUAGUCCACGCUGUAAACUAUGAUCACUCGCUGUUGGCAAUACAUCGUCAGCGGCUGAGCGAAAGCAUUAAGUGAUCCACCUGGGGAGUACGGUCGCAAGAUUGAAACUCAAAGGAAUUGACGGGGGCCCGCACAAGCGGAGGAACAUGUGGUUUAAUUCGAUGAUACGCGAGGAGCCUUACCUGGGCUUAAAUGCAGAGCGACGUCCGCCGAAAGGUGGAUUCCUUCGGGCGAUCUGCAAGGUGCUGCAUGGUUGUCGUCAGCUCGUGCCGUGAGGUGUCGGGUUAAGUCCCAUAACGAGCGCAACCCUUAUCGUUAGUUGCCAGCGGGUAAUGCCGGGGACUCUAACGAAACUGCCGGUGUAAACCGUGAGGAAGGUGGGGAUGACGUCAAAUCAGCACGGCCCUUAUGUCCAGGGCUACACACGUGUUACAAUGGUCGGUACAGAGGGCAGCUACCACGCAAGUGGAUGCUGAUCUCGAAAACCGGUCUCAGUUCGGAUUGAAGUCUGCAACUCGACUUCAUGAAGCUGGAUUCGCUAGUAAUCGCGCAUCAGCCAUGGCGCGGUGAUACGUUCCCGGGCCUUGUACACACCGCCCGUCAAGCCAUGGAAGCUUGGGGUACCUGAAGUCCGUAACCGCA
rnacentral:rRNA from 1 species